UAACACGUAAACAAACCGCCUUCAGGAUGGGGACAACAGACGGAAACGACUGCUAAUACCGAAUAAGUUCCAAGGGCCGCAUGGCCCAUGGAAGAAAAGGUGGCCUCUACCUGUAAGCUAUCGCCUGAAGAGGGGUUUGCGUCUGAUUAGCUGGUUGGAGGGGUAACGGCCCACCAAGGCGACGAUCAGUAGCCGGUCUGAGAGGAUGAACGGCCACACUGGAACUGAGACACGGUCCAG
rnacentral:rRNA from 1 species